AAAAUUUUUAAAGAAAACCUUUUCCGUUACAAUGAAACGGGCAAACCAUUAAAACUGAUGAAGCAGUAUCUUUUUUCCACUUAAAUAUUUUUGGACGUCAUUUGGCAACACGGUGCUUAUUUUUUAAUGUCACGUCGCCUGCUUUUGGUUCUGUUCGCUUCCUUCUUUCUAGAUGCCAACUUGUCUAAAAAGCGUGUAAAGCCGUUAGAUUUCUUUUUUGUUUGCAUUCUUCUCUGUUCGAAUAAAUAUCGAUUUUGCAUGAUGGAUUCCUGUCCUGAAACUGAGACAACCGCUUCCGUUCACCCAUAUUGCACGAUAGAGCUGGAGGCACUGGCUGGAUACCGACGGGGAAGAUCUCUCCAAAAGAAAGCUCAUGUGGCUUAGGGGUAUGUGGUACAUCUGUCAUGUGCGUGGAAUAUCUUGAGUACUUCAUCACCAACUCCCACCUUAAAUAGCCAUUAAUGAUGACGGGGAUAUUUUUAUAAUUCUCACCUCUCACCAGUGGAACUCCCACAUCGGUCAUGUGGCAAGAAUUAUUCGGAUUCCAUUCAACCAGUGACGCCAAGAAUCUUUAACCGUACGAAAAUUCCAGCGAAUGUUUCGCUAUACUCCGCAUAGGACUAAUUACCAGCAGCAAAACCAAGGAGCCGGCCAAAUAAUUUCUAGAGGAGGAGGCGACCAACCUCAUCAUCAACAUCUGUUGCUGUGGCCUAGCUUUUGUUUCGGGCCAAGGGAGAGCGAGAAAAAAAGGAUCCUAUACGACCAUUUCCUGUGUGGCGAGUUAAUGUAUGUGCGCGACCUAAAAUGCGUCCAUUGGUUGCGAAAACAAAUGCAAGGAAAUCUCAGCUGCAUCAUGAUUAUUUUUGUUUGUUUGCUGUUUGGUUCUGAAAGGAUUGUAAAAGUAAAAAAAUCCUUACAAGAACAGCAAACAUUUUAUUGGCGUCAAAUGUCGAUAUUUUCUUAAAAAGGAAAAAAAAAAAAAUUACGGAGUAACAACGUAUCCCAUCUGGCGAGCGGUUUUAGCAACGAGCCCAUCCAAUUGUUUUGGUUCAAACUAAAAGACGAGCGAAGAAGUAAAAGAAA